GGGUUAAGGGUUUGGUUAGGGGUAGGGUUAGGGUAGGGUAACCCUAACCCUACCCUACCCCUCACCCUAUGCUAACCCUAACCUUACCCCUAACCCUACCAUAACCCUACACCUAACCCUAACCCUGCUCCAAACAGAACCCUACCCCUAACUCUACCAUAACCCUACCACUAGCCCUACUCUAACUCUAACCUUACCCUUAACCCUUAACCCUACCCUAGCCUAACACUACCCCUAACAUAACCAUAACCCUACCCUAACCCUAUGCUUACCCCAAGUUUUGAAGUGCAGAAAUUCUGGAGUGCUGAAGUUCCGAAUUGUCGAAGUCCCGAAUUUUGGAAUGAUAAACCGAAUAUUUUUCCCAUGCACAUCCCUAGUCUGUAAUACUAGCUACAUCCUGUGUCUGAAAGACAUUUAAAAUGAAAUUAAUUUCAACUAAAGCAAAACUUAUAAUGUUCAGAUAUGUAAAGUUCAUUAAAUAUAUUUCAAACAGGUUUGCAGAAUGUCCUCAUAUCAUUUACCAACAUUCAGAACUUUUUAGUGGAACUGCAAAUUCAUUUAUCUUUCUUCAUUAAAAGUAUUCAGAUUCAAAUGAUUUCCUAUAGUAAUAUUUAGAGCUUGUAGGUUUGAAAGACAGAGACAUCAGGCAUUGGCAAUACAUUAUUAACUUCCAAUGGACAGGAAAAAGCUGUAAAAUUAUUAAAAUGGUAGAAUUAACCACUUAUUAAUUAGCAUUAACCAUAAUAUUUAUGGAAAAUAUUCUACUCCACUUAUACACAAAUAAAACUUUUUUUUUCAUGUAAUUUUUCUCAUGAAAAAAAAAACCACAGCAAAACAAAGCAAUAGAAAUUAAAAAGCAAACUGUAGAUUUGAAUUGAAAACGCAUUUUAUAUACACAUUGAUGCGGCCUGUGUUAAGGGGGUCUAUAAUUAAAGGGCCAGCCUGUGGAGUUGAAUAAUUCAGCAUGUCUGUCAGAUAAUUCAGGCUCAGUUUAUAUAAUAUUACUCUCACCCACCUAUCGCCCUUCCUCCAGGGCAAACAUGCCAGUCAACAUCAUAGCCAAUAACAUAAUCACACAUUACAUGUAUUGGGAAAACCGAUCUUUAUUACAAGAGAGCCUAACACAGGGAAACGCCUCCAUUAACAAAUAAUCACUUAACACAAUGUAAUAACAAUAUAAUCAAUCAUAUCAAAAGACAGAGACAGGGAAGCCUACAAAGGGUUAACACG